GACGAACGCUGGCGGCGUGGAUUAGGCAUGCAAGUCGAACGGUAUCAUCCUUUCGGGGGUGAGAGAGUGGCGAACUGGUGAGUAACACGUAGGUUAUCUACCCUCAAGACGGGGACAACCCAGGGAAACUUGGGCUAAUACCGGAUGUGAGCAACUUUUAGUUGUUUGAAAGGUGGCGUAAGCUGUCGCUUGGGGAUGAGCCUGCGUCCUAUUAGUUAGUUGGUGAGGUAACGGCUCACCUAGGCAAUGAUAGGUAGGCGGCCUUAACGGGUGGUCGCCCACACUGGGAUUGAGAUACGGCCCAGACUCCUACGGGAGGCAGCAGUCGAGAAUAGUCUACAAUGGCCGAAAGGCUGAUAGUGCGACGCCGCGUGAACGAAGAAGCCCUUCGGGGUGUAAAGUUCUUUUAUAUGUGAGCAGUGCUUUCUAUGUGAACAGCAUGGGGAGAGAGAUAUUAGCAUAUGAAUAAGCAACGGCUAACUCCGUGCCAGCAGCCGCGGUAAC
rnacentral:rRNA from 1 species